rnacentral:rRNA from 1 species
AGCAUAUCAAUAAGCGGAGGAAAAGAAACCAACAGGGAUUGCCUCAGUAACGGCGAGUGAAGCGGCAACAGCUCAAAUUUGAAAUCUGGCUCCCUUGGGCGCCCGAGUUGUAAUUUGCAGAGGGUGCUUUGGCGUUGGCCACGGCCUAAGUUCCUUGGAACAGGGCGUCGCAGAGGGUGAGAACCCCGUACGUGGCCGCUGGCCUUCGCCGUGUAAAGCCCCUUCGACGAGUCGAGUUGUUUGGGAAUGCAGCUCUAAAUGGGAGGUAAAUUCCUUCUAAAGCUAAAUACUGGCCAGAGACCGAUAGCGCACAAGUAGAGUGAUCGAAAGAUGAAAAGCACUUUGGAAAGAGAGUCAAAAAGCACGUGAAAUUGUUGAAAGGGAAGCGCUUGCAGCCAGACUCGCUCGCGGUCGUUCUUCUUCCGCGAGCGGGCCAGCAUCAGUCUGGGCGGUCGGAUAAAGGCCUUGGGAAUGUAGCUCCCUUCGGGGAGUGUUAUAGCCCAGGGCGUCAUGCGGCCAGUCCGGACUGAGGUCCGCGCAUCUGCUAGGAUGCUGGCGUAAUGGCUGUAAGCGGCCCGUCU